rnacentral:rRNA from 1 species
UAGGGAAUAUUGCGCAAUGGGGGAAACCCUGACGCAGCGACGCCGCGUGAGUGAUGAAGGCCUUCGGGUCGUAAAGCUCUGUUGCAAGGGAAUAAAAAAAUGAAUGUACCUUGUGAGGAAGGAUCGGCUAACUUCGUGCCAGCAGCCGCGGUAAGACGAGGGAUCCUAGCGUUGUUCGGAAUCAUUGGGCGUAAAGCGGGUGUAGGUGGCUUGGUAAGUCGGGUGUGAAAGCCCAGGGCUCAACCCUGGAAGUGCAUUCGAUACUGCUGAGCUUGAGUGUUGGAGAGGUCAUCGGAAUACCUGGUGUAGUGGUGAAAUACGUAGAUAUCAGGUGGAACACCGGAGGCGAAGGCGGGUGACUGGCCAAACACUGACACUGAGACCCGAAAGUGUGGGGAUCAAACA